rnacentral:rRNA from 1 species
GACGAACGCUGGCGGCGUGCUUAACACAUGCAAGUCGAACGAAGUCGCGAACGGGAGAGUAACGCGUAAUCAACCUGCCCUUCAGAGGGGGACAACAGUUGGAAACGACUGCUAAUACAGCAUACUGCCGGAGGUGAUUUCUACUGAUGAGCUAGUUGGAGGGGUAACGGCCCACCAAGGCUAUGAUCAGUAGCCGGUCUGAGAGGAGUAACGGCCAGAGUGGGACUGAGACACGGCCCAGACUCCUACGGGAGGCAUCAGUGGGGAAUCGUCCGCAAUGGACGAAAGUCUGACGGAGCAACGCCGCGUGAGUGAUGACGGCCUUCGGGUGGUAAAGCUCUGUUAAUCGGGACGCGGUACCGGAAUAGAAAGCCACGGCUAACUACGUGCCAGCAGCAGCGGGAAAC